GAUGAACGCUGGCGGCGUGCCUAAUACAUGCAAGUCGAGCGAACGGACGAGAAGCUUGCUUCUCUGAUGUUAGCCGGACGGGUGAGUAACACGUGGAUAACCUACCUAUAAGACUGGGAUAACUUCGGGAAACCGGAGCUAAUACCGGAUAAUAUUUUGAACCGCAUGGUUCAAAAGUGAAAGACGGUCUUGCUGUCACUUAUAGAUGGAUCCGCGCUGCAUUAGCUAGUUGGUAAGGUAACGGCUUACCAAGGCAACGAUGCAUAGCCGACCUGAGAGGGUGAUCGGCCACACUGGAACUGAGACACGGUCCAGACUCCUACGGGAGGCAGCAGUAGGGAAUCUUCCGCAAUGGGCGAAAGCCUGACGGAGCAACGCCGCGUGAGUGAUGAAGGUCUUCGGAUCGUAAAACUCUGUUAUUAGGGAAGAACAUAUGUGUAAGUAACUGUGCACAUCUUGACGGUACCUAAUCAGAAAGCCACGGCUAACUACGUG
rnacentral:rRNA from 1 species